rnacentral:rRNA from 1 species
GUACACUCCUACGGGAGGCAGCAGUGGGGAAUAUCGCACAAUGGGCGCAAGCCUGAUGCAGCCAUGCCGCGUGUAUGAAGAAGGCCUUCGGGUUGUAACGUACUUUCAGCGGGGAGGAAGGCGAUAAGGUUAAUAACCUUGUCGAUUGACGUUACCCGCAGAAGAAGCACCGGCUAACUCCGUGCCAGCGGCCGCGGUAAUACGGAGGGUGCAAGCGUUAAUCGGAAUUACUGGGCGUAAAGCGCACGCAGGCGGUCUGUCAAGUCGGAUGUGAAAUCCCCGGGCUCAACCUGGGAACUGCAUUCGAAACUGGCAGGCUAGAGUCUUGUAGAGGGGGGUAGAAUUCCAGGUGUAGCGGUGAAAUGCGUAGAGAUCUGGAGGAAUACCGGUGGCGAAGGCGGCCCCCUGGACAAAGACUGACGCUCAGGUGCGAAAGCGUGGGGAGCAAACAGGAUUAGAAACCCCAGUAGUCCCAUGAU